AUAAGGAGGAAGUAUCAAAUACUUAAUCAAAUGGAUACGAUGUUAGAUGUUACUGGUUGAGCUCCAGCACUGGGACUGACCGACCAGACCAAAGCUGAGUCACUCAAGGGCUGGGACCAGGGCUGGCCUGAAAAUAUGCCAAAUCUGGUAUCUCUCCCAAUACUGAACUUUAACCCUGAGCAAAGUCUUGUUGAGUACGCAUGGUUGUCAGUGACAAACUAGAUACAGAGGGACUGGACUAGCCAAUGCCACCCAAAUAGAGAGUGUGGCGAGCGAACUCCAGUCUAGGUCCAAGUGGCCCCUAGCGCGAUCUGCCAGGUGGGGGUGGAGAGCUGCUGCGGGCAUACAGAUGAUCUGUGCAGGGCCAUAUUAUUUCUUCUUUUCUGUCUUCUUAGAAGGCCUCGAACCCCUUUUAACAUCAAGAUUCUCCUGGCUGGAGUGGAAAAGUCUGUGCGUUUUCGAGUAGGAGCUUUUGCCCGAGUUUGGGUGACUUUCAAGAGCCAAAGUUAACUGAGGCUAAGAAUAGAUUAGCUCCUUGCUCUCUGUGGAGCUAUGA
rnacentral:lncRNA from 1 species